GUUUGAAAGAAAACUGCUGUGGAAAACUCGGCCGGAAGCAAGUAUCAAGUGAAUCCACUACAUCACCACAAACGUCUUUUCAAGCCAGAGAGUGGAUGGGGAGGAAGACUGGAUAGGAAGAAGAGUGAUGGAGACAGAGGAGGAAAGAUCCACUGACUGAACUUUGUCUGGACUUUGUCCAUGGAAACUUGACCGUAUUCAGUGACACGAUCAAGAUGCUUGAAGGCCAGGACCACUGCGCUGUGGAGUCAGCUGCAAUUCUGAGAAACGUUGAGGCAAAAUUGACUGCAAGACGUGAUGACAACUUCAUUCCAGUUUUGGUCAGAGGACUUCUGAGAGAGCUGGAGGACAAUGGAGACAUGUCUAAAGAGAGCUUUCUCAAAACAUCCCAAUCAUUCUUCACUAUGGCUGUGAACUACUUGCAAGCAUGGGGAAAGCACACAGAUAAUCUAAAAUAUUUACAUUGUCUCCUUUUAAAAAGGCAACCUCAGCAUGAAGAGAUCCAGAAGGCAGCAGGCACACUGCAGGGAAAAUGCCCCAAUGUGACCAUCAAUGAGGAUGCAUUGUUUGACGAGGUUACUGGCCUGCAAGAGUUCCUAAAGGGGAGAUCGCUUGAAGAAUGGAAAACAUCUGAGACACUGCUUAGUCAGAGAUGCAGCACGGUGGUUACCCACUUCAAAGAGAAUGACAUCCCUAACCUGGCUAGAUUAGCAUCUGUUGUCAUGUGCUUACCUGGAAGUAAUGCACCAGUCGAGAGAGUGUUCUCCCAAAUGAAUGAAAUAUGGACAGCAGCAAGAAAUAGGUUCACCGUUCCUACCAUCAAGGCCAUGCUUAUUGUGAAGACAAACUUCAACCUCCCCUGCCAGGAUUUCAUGGAGAAGCUGGCCAAAGACACAUUCUUCUGAGAAAUAUACAGUUUAGGAUGGUAUAAGUGGUAACUACAUAAUAUAAUCUCAUCAUCGUCUUAUUUCUUUAUGGUGUUAAGUAUUUCACAUAGACUAUUGUCUGUUUUUUCAAUUUUGCUCAUGUUCUCUUCUGCUCCUUAUUGUACCCAGACUAGCAGGACCACUGAUUGGCUGUUCAGAUCAGUUCUACCCAGACUAGCAGGACCACUGAAUGGCUGUUCAGAUCUGUUCUACCCAGACUAGCAGGACCACUGAUUGGCUAUUCAGAUCAGUUCUACCCAGACUAGCAGGACCACUGAAUGGCUGUUCAGAUCAGUUCUACCCAGACUAGCAGGACCACUGAUUGGCUGUUCAGAUCAGUUCUACCCAGACUAGCAGGACCACUGAUUGGCUGUUCAGAUCAGUUCUACCCAGAC